AGUAACACGUGGGUGAUCUGCCCUGCACUUUGGGAUAAGCCUGGGAAACUGGGUCUAAUACCGAAUACACCUCGCUGGCUGCAUGGCCUGGUGGGGGAAAGCUUUUGCGGUGUGGGAUGGGCCCGCGGCCUAUCAGCUUGUUGGUGAGGUGACGGCCCACCAAGGCGACGACGGGUAGCCGGCCUGAGAGGGUGUCCGGCCACACUGGGACUGAGAUACGGCCCAGACUCCUACGGGAGGCAGCAGUGGGGAAUAUUGCACAAUGGGCGCAAGCCUGAUGCAGCGACGCCGCGUGAGGGAUGACGGCCUUCGGGUUGUAAACCUCUUUCAGUACCGACGAAGCGCGAGUGACGGUACCUACAGAAGAAGCACCGGCCAACUACGUGCCAGCAGCCGCGGUAAUACGUAGGGUGCGAGCGUUGUCCGGAAUUACUGGGCGUAAAGAGCUCGUAGGUGGUUUGUCGCGUUGUUCGUGAAAACCGGGGGCUUAACCCUCGGCGUGCGGGCGAUACGGGCAGACUUGAGUACUGCAGGGGAGACUGGAAUUCCUGGUGUAGCGGUGGAAUGCGCAGAUAUCAGGAGGAACACCGGUGGCGAAGGCGGGUCUCUGGGCAGUAACUGACGCUGAGGAGCGAAAGCGUGGGGAGCGAACAGGAUUAGAUACCCUGGUAGUCCACGCCGUAAACGGUGGGUACUAGGUGUGGGUUUCCUUCCUUGGGAUCCGUGCCGUAGCUAACGCAUUAAGUACCCCGCCUGGGGAGUACGGCCGCAAGGCUAAAACUCAAAGAAAUUGACGGGGGCCCGCACAAGCGGCGGAGCAUGUGGAUUAAUUCGAUGCAACGCGAAGAACCUUACCUGGGUUUGACAUGCACAGGACGCGGCUAGAGAUAGUCGUUCCCUUGUGGCCUGUGUGCAGGUGGUGCAUGGCUGUCGUCAGCUCGUGUCGUGAGAUGUUGGGUUAAGUCCCGCAACGAGCGCAACCCUUGUCUCAUGUUGCCAGCACGUCAUGGUGGGGACUCGUGAGAGACUGCCGGGGUCAACUCGGAGGAAGGUGGGGAUGACGUCAAGUCAUCAUGCCCCUUAUGUCCAGGGCUUCACACAUGCUACAAUGGCCGGUACAAAGGGCUGCGAUGCCGUGAGGUGGAGCGAAUCCUUUCAAAGCCGGUCUCAGUUCGGAUCGGGGUCUGCAACUCGACCCCGUGAAGUCGGAGUCGCUAGUAAUCGCAGAUCAGCAACGCUGCGGUGAAUACGUUCCCGGGCCUUGUACACACCGCCCGUCACGUCAUGAAAGUCGGUAACACCCGA
rnacentral:rRNA from 1 species